GAACGCUGGCGGCGUGCUUAACACAUGCAAGUCGAACGAAGCACUCUAUUUGAUUUCCUUCGGGAUUGAUUAUUUUGUGACUGAGUGGCGGACGGGUGAGUAACGCGUGGGUAACCUGCCUCAUACAGGGGGAUAACAGUUGGAAACGGCUGCUAAUACCGCAUAAGCGCACAGUACCGCAUGGUACCGUGUGAAAAACUCCGGUGGUAUGAGAUGGACCCGCGUCUGAUUAGCUAGUUGGUGGGGUAACGGCCUACCAAGGCGACGAUCCAUAGCCGGCCUGAGAGGGUGGACGGCCACAUUGGGACUGAGACACGGCCCAGACUCCUACGGGAGGCAGCAGUGGGGAAUAUUGCACAAUGGGGGAAACCCUGAUGCAGCGACGCCGCGUGAGCGAAGAAGUAUUUCGGUAUGUAAAGCUCUAUCAGCAGGGAAGAAAAUGACGGUACCUGACUAAGAAGCCCCGGCUAACUACGUGCCAGCAGCCGCGGUAAUACGUAGGGGGCAAGCGUUAUCCGGAUUUACUGGGUGUAAAGGGAGCGUACACGGAAUGGCAAGUCUGAUGUGAAAGGCCGGGGCUCAACCCCGGGACUGCAUUGGAAACUGUCAAUCUAGAGUACCGGAGGGUAAGUGGAAUUCCUAGUGUA
rnacentral:rRNA from 1 species